rnacentral:rRNA from 1 species
UUCGCAAUGCCCGCAAGGGUGACGAAGCGACGCCGCGUGCGGGAAGAAGGCCUUCGGGUUGUAAACCGCUGUCGGGAGUUAGGAAGUGCAAGGAUGUUAAUAGCGUUCUUGCUUGACUAAGGCUCCGGAGGAAGCCACGGCUAACUCUGUGCCAGCAGCCGCGGUAAUACAGAGGCGGCAAGCGUUGUUCGGAAUUAUUGGGCGUAAAGAGCACGUAGGCGGCUGUGUAAGUCGGUUGUGAAAGCCUUCCGCUUAACGGAAGAACGGCAUCCGAUACUGCAUAGCUUGAGUGCGGGAGGGGAGAGUGGAACUUCUGGUGGAGCGGUGAAAUGCGUAGAUAUCAGAAGGAACACCGGCGGCGAAGGCGACUCUCUGGUCCGUAACUGACGCUGAGUGUGCGAAAGCUAGGGGAGCAAACGGGAUUAGAUACCCCGGUAGUCCUAGCCGUAAACGAUGGGCACUAAGUAGA